rnacentral:rRNA from 1 species
GAUGAACGCUGGCGGCGCGCCUAACACAUGCAAGUCGAACGAUUAAAGCACCUUCGGGUGUGUAUAAAGUGGCGAACGGCUGAGUAACACGUGGGCAACCUGCCCCUUUCAUUGGGAUAGCCACGGGAAACCGUGGAUAAUACCGAAUACUUCGAGACUUCCGCAUGGAAGACUCGAGAAAGCUCCGGCGGAGAGGGAUGGGCCCGCGGCCUGUUAGCUUGUUGGUGGGGUAACGGCCUACCAAGGCAAUGAUGGGUAGCUGGGUUGAGAGGCCGACCAGCCAGAUUGGGACUGAGACACGGCCCAGACUCCUACGGGAGGCAGCAGUGGGGAAUCUUGCACAAUGGGCGAAAGCCUGAUGCAGCGACGCCGCGUGCGGGAUGAAGGCCUUCGGGUUGUAAACCGCUUUCAGCAGGGACGAGGCGAAAGUGACGGUACCUGCAGAAGAAGCCCCGGCUAACUACGUG